UAGUCCACGCCGUAAACGAUGAUCACUCGUUGUUGGCAAUACAUCGUCAGCGACUGAGCGAAAGCAUUAAGUGAUCCACCUGGGGAGUACGAUCGCAAGAUUGAAACUCAAAGGAAUUGACGGGGGCCCGCACAAGCGGUGGAACAUGUGGUUUAAUUCGAUGAUACGCGAGGAGCCUUACCUGGGCUUAAAUGUAGAGUGCAUAAGUGGGAAACUACUUUCCCUUCGGGGCUCUUUACAAGGUGCUGCAUGGUUGUCGUCAGCUCGUGCCGUGAGGUGUCGGGUUAAGUCCCAUAACGAGCGCAACCCUUAUCACUAGUUGCCAUCGGGUCAAGCCGGGGACUCUAGUGAAACUGCCACCGUAAGGUGAGAGGAAGGUGGGGAUGACGUCAAAUCAGCACGGCCCUUAUGUCCAGGGCUACACACGUGUUACAAUGGUCGGUACAGAGGGCAGCUACCUGGUGACAGGAUGCCAAUCUCGAAAGCCGGUCCAAGUUCGGAUCGG
rnacentral:rRNA from 1 species